rnacentral:rRNA from 1 species
AACCAGCGGAGGGAUCAUAA